rnacentral:rRNA from 1 species
CCUACGGGUGGCAGCAGUGAGGAAUAUUGGUCAAUGGGCGGAAGCCUGAACCAGCCAAGUCGCGUGAGGGAAGAAGGCACAACGGGUCGUAAACCUCUUUUGCCGGGGAGCAAGGGCUGGGACGUGUCCCGGCCCGGAGAGUACCCGGAGAAAAAGCAGCGGCCAACUCCGUGCCAGCCGCCGCGGUAAUCCGGAGGACGAGAGCGUGAACGGGAUUGUGUGGGUUGAAAGGGGGCGUAGGGGGGCUUUUAAGUCAGCGGUAAGAGUUCGGGGCUCACCCCCGGCCGGCCGUUGAAACUGGGGGCCUUGAGUGGGCGAGAAGCAGGCGGAAUGCGUGGUGUAGCGGUGAAAUGCAUAGAUAUCACGCAGAACCCCGAUUGCGAAGGCAGCCUUCCGGCGCCCUACUGACGCUGAGGCACGAAAGUGUGGGUAUCGAACAGGAUUAGAUACCCCAGUAGUC